UACGUAGGGGGCAAGCGUUGUCCGGAUUUAUUGGGCGUAAAGAGUGCGUAGGCGGUUCCGUAAGUUUGGUGUGAAAUCUCCCGGCUCAACUGGGAGGGUGCGCCGAAGACUGCGGUGCUUGAGUGUGGGAAAGGUAGGCGGAAUUCCUGGUGUAGCGGUGAAAUGCGUAGAUAUCAGGAGGAACACCGGUGGUGUAGACGGCUUACUAGACCAUGACUGACGCUGAGGCACGAAAGCGUGGGUAGCAAACAGG
rnacentral:rRNA from 1 species